rnacentral:rRNA from 1 species
AUUGAACGCUGGCGGCAGGCCUAACACAUGCAAGUCGAACGAGUGGCGGACGGGUGAGUAAUGUCUGGGAAACUGCCCGAUGGAGGGGGAUAACUACUGGAAACGGUAUCUAAUACCGCCUACCAUCGGAUGUGCCCAGAUGGGAUUAGCUAGUAGGUGGGGUAAUGGCUCACCUAGGCGACGAUCCCUAGCUGGUCUGAGAGGAUGACCAGCCACACGUGAACUGAGACACGGUGCAGACGCCUACGGGAGGCAGCAGGGGGGAAUAUUGCACAAGGGGCGCAAGCCAGAAGAAGCCAUGCCGCGUGGAGGAAGAAGGCCUUCGGGUUGUAAAGCACUUUCAGCGAGGAGGCGUUACUCGCAGAAGAAGCACCGGCUAACGCCGUGCCAGCAGCCGCGGUAAUUC